ACCAGGAUUUGGGCUACCUUUGGCAGUCCGCGAUACUAAGCGGCCAUGAUUUUUCGCACUUACCCUGUGUUUACGAUAAUGUUAAAAGCUCCUUCUUCGAUUUAUACCGCAAUUACGAUGGCGAUAUCAAAGAAUUUGGUACAAUAUCCAGUCCAGAACUACUAUAAUUGCAAAUCAUUGCCAAAGAAAUAAAACAAAAUGGAUUGCUAUAUUAUUUUAAACCAAGGCAAACACAGCCACAGAGGAGACACAGAGGAGAAUCAGUGGGCUCCAGUGAAUACUGCAGUGUACUUACAUACAGAAGCUAUUGUUAGGGAGAAGCAGGAGAUCAUAAAUUCUGUAUAGUUCACUAUAUGUUAAUACAUGAGCAGUAAUCUUUUCAGUAGCUAUUAUCAUGGCCACCACUUAGACCUAAAUAGCUUACUGGGUAUGUACAGGCAUGCAGCUCGGGGUGGGCUAGGUUGUGCUCCCACUCAACAACCAAAAGGCAGUCUUUUUUAAUAUACUUACUUUCCAUAAUAUCUAUGACUGCACAUCCCCUCCACAGCUUAUCAGACUUCACCUUUCCUUUUCUAGACAUACAAUGCCUUCAAUUAAAUAAUUUCUUUUGUUUAAUAAAAUAAGACUGAGUAA